rnacentral:tRNA from 7 species
GCCCAGCUAGCCCACUUGGUGGAGCAUAAAGCUUCUAACCUUUUGGUCGUGGGUUCAAACCCCACAGUUUGCA